rnacentral:rRNA from 1 species
UAAGGAAUAUUGGUCAAUGGACGAAAGUCUGAACCAGCCAUGCCGCGUGGAGGAUGAAGGUCCUCUGGAUUGUAAACUUCUUUUAUAUGGGACGAAAAAAGGGUUUUCUAACUCGUCUGACGGUACCAUAUGAAUAAGCACCGGCUAACUCCGUGCCAGCAGCCGCGGUAAUACGGAGGGUGCAAGCGUUAUCCGGAUUCACUGGGUUUAAAGGGUGCGUAGGUGGGUUGGUAAGUCAGUGGUGAAAUCU